rnacentral:lncRNA from 1 species
AUUAAAAGUGAGAAACCAAUAUAGCAUCAUGAGGGCAUCAUUUUCCCGAUUUUUGUGAAGUUUGAAUUCGAACAAAGGACGGCACCAUUUCCUUCAAACGACAUGCAAGGUUUUGAUAGAUGUAGAUCUCUGUUUCUUUUGCAAAUUUUCACUUGAGAAUAAUAAUAGUUUUAAUCAAUCAUUUUUACUUAUGUUUCACCACAGGAAAGACAUUUUUCUUUUUCUUUUUUUGGAUGUUUGUUGACACUAAAUCAUAAAUGGAUUGAAUUGAAAAUAACUACUGGUGCUGAAAGGGAGAAAUGUGAACAAAGCGAGCUUUUAUUACUGUUUUUUUCCUCUUUUCUUCCCUAAACCUGCAAAGUGUUUGUUAGAUUUCUUGUGAUGGCCUAAUUAUUUUUCUCUCUAUGUCAUUACUUUCUUACUCUAGCUCAAAUAUGUCAUGGUUAUUUCAAAAGUGAGGUUUUC